UACGGGGGGGGCAAGCGUUGUUCGGAAUUACUGGGCGUAAAGGGCUCGUAGGCGGCCAACUAAGUCAGACGUGAAAUCCCCAGGCUCAACCUGGGAACUGCGUCUGAUACUGGAUGGCUUGAAUCCGGGAGAGGGAUGCAGAAUUCCAGGUGUAGCGGUGAAAUGCGUAGAUAUCUGGAGGAAUACCGGUGGCGAAAGCGGCUUCCUGGACCAGCACCGACGUUCAGGCACGAAAGCGUGGGGAGCAAACAGG
rnacentral:rRNA from 1 species